rnacentral:lncRNA from 1 species
GGAAAUCGGGAAAUAUUGAGAUCUUCUGCGUUUCAGUUUCCAUCAAAGCUCCGAUGCUUGCGAUCGCAAGUGACUGAAGGUACCUGAAUGGCGAAACGCCCAAGUCAGUCUGGGCUGCUCGCGGGCGGCCAAGACCACGCGGUCGGGCGGGCAUACCUCCAUACACUGGCGGAAGAGGGAUGUGCGAUAGAGAGGCGGACGGAGCCGGCUGGAUGAGAGAAACGGUGCCUGGCUACGCAGGGCAAGCUGGGGAGACGGAAGGUGGCUGAGGAGGUGGAUGAGGAGGGGCGGGUGAGUGCGAAGGACGAGGAGGUGUACGAAACUAGUGAUGGCUUCUUCAAGCCGUAAUUCACUCCAAG